AUAGGUUAUAUACGAGUUUUGUUAUGUUUGUUUUUCCUGCGGGUUCAAUUGAACUUCUCGCGCGGUUGGUUGAGUUUCUUUUCCUGAGGGUUAAGAAGAACUUCUAACCGCGUUGGGAAAGUUCAUUGAACCUUAUCAUUUAGAGGAAGGAGAAGUCGUAACAAGGUUUCCGUAGGUGAACCUGCGGAAGGAUCAUUG
rnacentral:rRNA from 1 species